rnacentral:rRNA from 1 species
CCUACGGGAGGCUGCAGUCGAGAAUCAUUGACAAUGGGGGAAACCCUGAUGGUGCGACGUCGCGUGGGGGAAUGAAGGUCUUCGAAUUGAAAGCCCCUGUCAUGUGGACGCUGAUUAAAAAGAUAGUAACACAAGAGGAAGAGACGGCUAACUCUGUGCCCGCAGCCGCGGGAAUACAGAGGGCGCAAGCGUUGUUCGGAAUCACUGGGCGUAAAGCGGGCGUAGGAUGUUUCGUAAGACGAGGGUGAAAGGCGCGGGCUCAACCCGCGAAUGGCCAAUGUUACUGCUAGACUAGAGUAAUGGAGGGGGUACCGGAAUACUCGGUGUAGCAGUGAAAUGCGUAGAUAUCGGGUGGAACACUCGUGGCGAAGGCGGGUACCUGGCUAUUAACUGACGCUGAGGCACGAAGGCCAGGGGAGCGAAAGGGAUUAGAUACCCUAGUAGUC